rnacentral:lncRNA from 1 species
GAACACCAAGGGCAUGGCAGCAGCAUCUGGUGGGGUUCUGUGCUACAUUACCCCAUGGUGGAAGGGCAGAGGGCAGAGGGCAGAAGAGGAAAGGCAGAAGAGAAAGACAGCAUGGGAGACAGCAAGAAAAUGGAGGCCAAAACUUAUCCUUUUAUCAGGAAUCCACUCCCACACAUGUUUGUAAACAAUGCCAUCAGGAAUAAAAGUGUUUGAAGCUGAAGCUGGGUCUUCCAUCCAAAUGUGGAAAGCGUGCCAGAGGACUGUCUUUCCCAUUCCCGCCCCACCUGCACAGCCAUAGACAAAGCUCAGCUCCGGGAUAAGGUAAAUGUCAAGAGCCACACAGCAGCAUGCCUUCCCUUCAAGACAGAACAAAGGGUGGUUUUCUUGGCCAACCUACUGCACAGGAGGAAGCCAAGCAACACCAUUGAUUUAAGCCCCAAGGAAAACCUAAAAUCUUUGGCCACUU